AGGAUUAACGCUGGCGGCGUGCCUGACACAUGCAAGUCGAACGAGGCCGCAAGGCCGAGUGGCGGACGGGUGAGUAACACGUGACCAACCAACCUCGAAGUUGGGAAUAGCUCUGCGAAAGUAGGGGUAAUACCGAAUGUGGCCCAGGGCGGGCAUCCGCCUUGGUCUAAAGAUUCAUCGCUUCGAGACGGGGUCGCGGCCUAUUAGCUUGUUGGUGAGGUAACGGCUCACCAAGGCGAUGAUGGGUAGCUGGUCUGAGAGGACGACCAGCCACACUGGGACUGAGACACGGCCCAGACUCCUACGGGAGGCAGCAGUGAGGAAUCUUCCGCAAUGGGCGAAAGCCUGACGGAGCAACGCCGCGUGUGGGAUGAAGACUCUAGGGUUGUAAACCACUGUCGGAGGGGACGAUCGUGACGGUACCCUCCAAGAAACGCCCCGGCUAACUACGCGCCAGCAGCCGC
rnacentral:rRNA from 1 species